GACGAACGCUGGCGGCGUGCUUAACACAUGCAAGUCGAACGAAGUGGCUAACGGGUGAGUAACGCGUACUCAACCUGCCCUUCCGAGGGGGACAACAGUUGGAAACGACUGCUAACACCGCAUACUUCAGGAGGGGAUUGCGUCUGAUUAGCUAGUUGGAGGGGUAACGGCCCACCAAGGCGAUGAUCAGUAGACGGUCUGGGAGGAUGAACGGCCACAUUGGGACUGAGACACGGCCCAGACUCCUACGGGAGGCAGCAGUGGGGAAUCUUCCGCAAUGGACGAAAGUCGGACGGAGCAACGCCGCGUGAGCGAUGACGGCCUUCGGGUUGUAAAGCUCUGUUAAUCGGGACGCGGUACCGGAAUAGAAAGCCACGGCUAACUACGUGCCAGCCGCCGCGGUAAUAC
rnacentral:rRNA from 1 species